AGAUUUUCCUGGCAGGGGCGAUACCAUGAUCACGAAGGUGGUUUUCCCAGGGCGAGGCUCACCCAUUGCACUCCGGAUGUGCUGACCCCUGCGAUUUCCCCAAGUGUGGGAAACUCAACUGCAUAAUUUGUGGUAGUGGGGGAAUGCAUUCGCACUCUCCCCUG
ensembl:snRNA U1 U1 spliceosomal RNA